ensembl:snRNA U6 U6 spliceosomal RNA
GCGCUUGUGUUGGCAGCACAUAUACUAAAAUUGGAGUGAUACAGAGAAAAUUAGCAUGGCCCCUGGGCAAGGAUGACAUGCAAAUUAGUUUUCCCAGCACAAUUUGU